UGGGGAAUUUUGGACAAUGGGCGAAAGCCUGAUCCAGCAAUGCCGCGUGUGUGAAGAAGGCCUUCGGGUUGUAAAGCACUUUUGUCCGGAAAGAAAUCCUUGGCUCUAAUACAGUCGGGGGAUGACGGUACCGGAAGAAUAAGCACCGGCUAACUACGUGCCAGCAGCCGCGGUAAUACGUAGGGUGCAAGCGUUAAUCGGAAUUACUGGGCGUAAAGCGUGCGCAGGCGGUUCGCUAAGACCGAUGUGAAAUCCCCGGGCUCAACCUGGGAACUGCAUUGGUGACUGGCAGGCUAGAGUAUGGCAGAGGGGGGUAGAAUUCCACGUGUAGCAGUGAAAUGCGUAGAGAUGUGGAGGAAUACCGAUGGCGAAGGCAGCCCCCUGGGCCAAAUACUGA
rnacentral:rRNA from 1 species